GUAGAGAUAAGUUAUGAUCGGGGCGGCCGCGGGAACGGGCUGCCAAUCCCUACUCGAGUCUCCUCUAAAAUUCUCUCACGGCUGGCUGGAUCUUACUGCCAGUGACGGCAAGAAAUAGUUUGCCCUGAGGGUUCUUAGAAAAAGAAAAAGGCUUUCCAUCAGUCUAUUGCCUGAGCCUUUGUUUUGCCUUCAGUAGAAAAUCGCUAUCAGACCAAUGGCUACAAGCACAGGUCCUCAAGAUCAACGAAAACGCACUCUAGAAGCAUUAGAGCGAAGGUUCGCCGCUGCGAAAGCGGAGCUUCAUCAACAACAGAAGAACAAAAAGACAUCUGUCGAAGAGGAUGGAAAAGAAACUCUUCGCAUUGAUUCGUCUAUCGCCAAUGCAUCCAUUGUGUCUUCCUCCAAUUCAUCAUCAAAGAAAGACGUCGAAGAAAAUGGUCAGGCGUAUUCCCAGCUCUCGGAACCUAUACAUCAAAGUUUGCUACCAGCUAAUUCUAAGUUUUCCAACAGUAAAGGAAGUGUGGCUGAUAAGAUUUUGCAUGAGCUCCUUCAAAGUGGGGAUUCAGCACGGAAAUAUAUGCAAGGAUCUAGAAGCAUGAAAAUUGACAAUUGGAUCCUUCUUGAUAAUUACGUACAAGGCCGAGUUAUGUCUACCGGCUCUCACAUCAGGGCUUUGAAGAACCACUCUAAGCGCUCUAGAAAACACAUGUCUAUGAAGCAGCUUAAGAAAUCUGGAGUAUUUGAGAUGCCUCAAGCCAUUCAAAAGUUUGAUACAUUUAAACCAAUGCAUGGAAUGUGGAAAGGCUACAUGGAUCAACUUCUUGAAACUACCGGGAAAAACCAGUUGGCUCAAUGUCUUCUUGGUGCAGAUCUGCAUGGUGCUUUUAUUCUAGUUGCUGAAUGCAAGAUAACUAGUUUCACUGGAGUGAAUGGUAUUAUGAUUCGUGAGACUGCAGAAACAUUUGGUCUAAUUACCCAAGAUGAUCAAUUCCGAGGGUUAAAAUAUGUGUAGAAGUUACAUCCAUUCAAUCUUAACAAGGGAAGGAGACAGAAGGGACAGUUGGAAAUAUCGCGAUUAGCAUGUGUUUUUUGAUAUUGAACUGAGUGGUCCUUGAGAAUUGGAUUAACACUUUUAUGCUUAAUAGAAGUUGUGCCCAAAAAGGUAUCUGUCUUCAUAUUCCAACUUGAUUGCUGGAGAAUUACAUUACAAGGGAACAAACUCACUUCAAGAAACAUAGGCUUGUGAUGUUGAUGUUAAACAUCCCAUUCGAGGAGUUCCUUUUCAUUUGCAUCGGAUAUCGGAUAAGGUCACGGAAAUUUUGUAGCAUUUUUUGUCAAAAGAAGAGAAUAUGUGUUUCUUCCAGAUAGGUCAUCCUAUGAAUAUGGUUGAAAGCCCAUAUUUCAUCAUAUUCAAACCUGAUGAAAUAUCUAGCAUUAUGGUCAUGAAAAAAGUUUGAAGCUGUACAGAAAAAGGGGGAAAUUCUUUUUAUUAUUAGUGCAUAUUGUUUCUGGAUUUAGCGCUUUUGGUACUAGGAAAACCGAAAACUAGAUGCUAUUAAGUAAUUUCCAAGCAAGUUAAAA